GUGGGGAAUAUUGGACAAUGGGCGAAAGCCUGAUCCAGCAAUGCCGCGUGAGUGAUGAAGGCCCUGGGGUUGUAAAGCUCUUUUACCCGGGAUGAUAAUGACAGUACCGGGAGAAUAAGCCCCGGCUAACUCCGUGCCAGCAGCCGCGGUAAUACGGAGGGGGCUAGCGUUGUUCGGAAUUACUGGGCGUAAAGCGCGCGCAGGCGGUUUUUCAAGUCAGUGGUGAAAGCCCGGAGCUCAACUCCGGAACUGCCAUUGAAACUGUAAAACUUGAGGAUGAGAGAGGUGAGUGGAAUUCCCAGUGUAGAGGUGAAAUUCGUAGAUAUUGGGAAGAACACCGGUGGCGAAGGCGGCUCACUGGCUCAUUACUGACGCUCAGGCGCGACAGCGUGGGGAUCAAAC
rnacentral:rRNA from 1 species